ACCAGGAUGGCCGAGUGGUUAAGGCGUUGGACUUAAGAUCCAAUGGGUGCAUACCUGCGUGGGUUCGAACCCCACUCCUGGUA
rfam:Alligator mississippiensis ScZkoYb_76, whole genome shotgun sequence.